rnacentral:rRNA from 1 species
GACGAACGCUGGCGGCGUGCUUAACAUAUGCAAGUCGAACGGAAAGGCCCUGCUUUUGUGGGGUGCUCGAGUGGCGAACGGGUGAGUAACACGUGAGUAACCUGCCCUUGACUUUGGGAUAACUUCAGGAAACUGGGGCUAAUACCGGAUAGGAGCUCCUGCUGCAUGGUGGGGGUUGGAAAGUUUCGGCGGUUGGGGAUGGACUCGCGGCUUAUCAGCUUGUUGGUGGGGUAGUGGCUUACCAAGGCUUUGACGGGUAGCCGGCCUGAGAGGGUGACCGGCGACAUUGGGACUGAGGUACGGCCCAGACUCCUACGGGAGGCAGCAGUGGGGAAUAUUGCACAAUGGGCGGAAGCCUGAUGCAGCAACGCCGCGUGCGGGAUGACGGCCUUCGGGUUGUAAACCGCUUUCGCCUGUGACGAAGCGUGAGUGACGGUAAUGGGUAAAGAAGCACCGGCUAACUACGUG